rnacentral:rRNA from 1 species
CCUACGGGAGGCUGCAGUGGGGAAUAUUGGACAAUGGGGGGAACCCUGAUCCAGCGACGCCGCGUGAGUGAAGAAGUAUUUCGGUAUUUAAAGCUCUAUCAGCAGGGAAGAAAAUGACGGUACCUAACUAAGAAGCCCCGUCUAACUACGUGCCAGCAGCCGCGGUAAUACGUAGGGGGCAAGCGUUAUCCGGAUGUACUGCGUGUAAAGGGAGCGUAGACGGUGCAGCAAGUCUGAUGGGAAAGGUCGGGGACCAACCCCGGGACUGCAUUGGAAACUGUUGAACUGGAGUAGAGGAGAGGUAAGCGGAAUUCCUAGUGUAGCGGUGAAAUGCGUAGAUAUUAGGAGGAACACCAGUGGCGAAGGCGGCUUACUGGACUGUAACUGACGUUGAGGCUCGAAAGCGUGGGGAGCAAACAGGAUUAGAUACCCGGGUAGUC